rnacentral:rRNA from 1 species
UACGUAGGGGGCAAGCGUUGUCCGGAAUUAUUGGGCGUAAAGAGCGCGUAGGCGGUCCGAUAAGUCGGCUGUGAAAGUCCAGGGCUCAACCCUGGAAAGCCGGCCGAUACUGUCGGACUAGAGUCCGGAAGAGGUAAGUGGAAUUCCCGGUGUAGCGGUGAAAUGCGCAGAUAUCAGGAGGAACACCGGGUGGCGAAGGCGGGUCUCUGGGCCGAUACUGACGCUGAGGAGCGAAAGCGUGGGGAGCAAACAGG